AACGCGAAGAACCUUACCUAGACUUGACAUCUCCUGCAUUACUCUUAAUCGAGGAAGUCCCUUCGGGGACAGGAUGACAGGUGGUGCAUGGUUGUCGUCAGCUCGUGUCGUGAGAUGUUGGGUUAAGUCCCGCAACGAGCGCAACCCUUAUUGUUAGUUGCCAUCAUUAAGUUGGGCACUCUAGCGAGACUGCCCGGGUUAACCGGGAGGAAGGUGGGGGUGACGUCAAAUCAUCAUGCCCCUUAUGUCUAGGGCUACACACGUGCUACAAUGGUCGGUACAAUAAGACGCAAGCCCGCGAGGGGGAGCAAAACUGGAAAACCGAUCUCAGUUCGGAUUGUAGGCUGAAACUCGCCUACAUGACGCUGGGGUUGCUAGUAAUCGCGAAUCAGCAUGUCGCGGUGAAUACGUUCCCGGGUCUUGUACACACCG
rnacentral:rRNA from 1 species